CACGUGGGGACACGUGUGGACACGCGUGGACACGUGGAGGGGAUGCGCGGAAAGGACACGCGUGUCCCGUCCGUGUCCCCAGGGUCACGUGUGUCCCAUCCCGUGUCCCACAGGGUGACACGUGUGUCCCAUCCAUGUCCUCCAGGGACACACGUGUGUCCUGUCCAUGUCCUCAGGGUCACGUGUGUCCCAUCCAUGUCCUCCAGGGACACACGUGUGUCCUGUCUGUGUCCCCAGGGUCACACGCGUGUCUCAUCCGUGUCCUCAGGGUCACGUGUGUCCCAUCCAUGUCCUCCAGGGACACACGUGUGUCCUGUCUAUGUCCCCAGGGACACGUGUGGCCUGUGUCCCCAAGGUCACAUGCGUGUCCCAUCCAUGUCCCCUAUGGUCACACGUGUGUCCCAUCCAUGUCCCCUAUGGUCACACGCGUGUCCCGUCCAUGUGACCCUGGGGCCACGCCCCAUGUCACGGCAGGGACACGCGUGUCCCGUCCCGUGUGCCCCGGGACCACGUGUGUCCCCUCCCACGGCGGCCUGGGACACGCGUGUCCCCUGCGUGUCACCGGG